GACGAACGCUGGCGGCGUGCUUAACACAUGCAAGUCGAACGGAAAGGCCCUGCUUGCAGGGUACUCGAGUGGCGAACGGGUGAGUAACACGUGGGUGAUCUGCCCUGCACUUCGGGAUAAGCCUGGGAAACUGGGUCUAAUACCGGAUAGGAGCCAUUUUUAGUGUGAUGGUUGGAAAGUUUUUUCGGUGUAGGAUGAGCUCGCGGCCUAUCAGCUUGUUGGUGGGGUAAUGGCCUACCAAGGCGGCGACGGGUAGCCGGCCUGAGAGGGUGGACGGCCACAUUGGGACUGGGAUACGGCCCAGACUCCUACGGGAGGCAGCAGUAGGGAACAUUGCACAAUGGACGCAAGCCUGAUGCAGAGGCGCCGCGUGGGGGAUGGCGGCCUUCGGGUUGUAAACUCCUUUCGCUAGGGACGAAGCUUUUUGUGACGGUACCUAGAUAAGAAGCACCGGCUAACUACGUG
rnacentral:rRNA from 1 species